rnacentral:rRNA from 1 species
AGAGUUUGAUCCUGGCUCAGAAUCAACGCUGGCGGCGUGCCUAACACAUGCAAGUCGAACGAGAAAGCCCGCAAGGGUGAGUAAAGUGGCGACCGGGUGAGUAACACGUAGCUAACCUACCCUCGAGUGGGGGAUAACCUGGGGAAACCUGGGCUAAUACCGCAUAACAUCCCAUUGGGAGCAAAGGCCCGCAAGGGUCG